rnacentral:rRNA from 1 species
GUAGGGAGCAAGCGUUGUCCGGAUAUACUGGGUGUAAAGGGUGCGUAGGCGGCUUUGCAAGUCAGAUGUGAAAUCUAUGGGCUCAACCCAUAAACUGCAUUUGAAACUGUAGAGCUUGAGUGAAGUAGAGGCAGGCGGAAUUCCACGUGUAGCGGUGAAAUGCGUAGAGAUGGGGAGGAACACCAGUGGCGAAGGCGGCCUGCUGGGCUUUAACUGACGCUGAGGCACGAAAGCGUGGGUAGCAAACAGGAUUAGAUACCCUGGUAGUCCACGCUGUAAACGAUGAUUACUAGGUGUGGGGGGUCUGACCCCUUCCGUGCCGGAGUUAACACAAUAAGUAAUCCACCUGGGGAGUACGGCCGCAAGGUUG